CUCUGUGAAAAGGAGUGCCUCUUAAAUAUGUAGAGACUGUUUCACAAUCAUCAUAACAUAGUCAAUACUGCAGGCCUCGGUGACUCCCCACCUAGGCAAUGCUAUGCCUUAUCACCCACAGAGGCAGGCUUCGGUCAUCAUUCGGACAUUGCACUGUGCUGUAUAAUUCAGGUGUGGUCCUUAAUUUUAUAAAACCUAGCAUUUCAGAAAAGCCAUCACCCCAAUUAACUUAGCAGUCUUAAGGAUCCCUAAAUACUCACACAGUUAAAUUACUAGGAUCUAAAGAAGGUACAAAGAUAAGCAAGAAGUGGGUAUUUGCCCUUGUGGAGUUUACGGUAAGUCUAUUAUAUUUUCAGCUUUAAGACAGAAAUGCUAAUGGUAACUCAAAGAAGUAAUAUGUGGUGCAUGUUAAAUAGCAGUGGAGGGCCAAGGACAUGAGCGAGGAUGCCUCUCCACCAGCAAAAGAUCCAGGUGCAAAGAGCACUGAAGGCAUCUUGGAGGGUAAGCAGUAUUUCAACAGGUGGAGAUGGCAGAAAUCAGCAUUCCAGAAAGAAGACAGGGCAUCCACAGCUCUUCUUCAAUAGAGGAAAUGGUUUCUCAGCUGCAGCAUGACUGACAUUUUGGCCGGAUAAUUCUUUGUUGUGGGGGCUGUCCUGUGAGCUGUAGGCUGUGUAGCGGCAUCUCGCUGUCAACCCACUGGAUGCUAGUGACACUCCGACCCCAGUGGUAACAACCCGGAAUGUCUCCAGACAUUGCCAAUUGACCUUGGGGUUGGGGGAAAAAUCACCUUGGGUGAGAGAUACUGAUACAGAAUAUAUAUAC
rnacentral:lncRNA from 1 species